CACUCACAGGCUGCCCACCCACGACUCAACUCACCCUGACUGCGUGUUCCCGUCUGACCUCGCCCGAGCACUUUCUUGACCUCGCCGGGAGCAGCCAGCUGGAUCCCGCCGCCGUGCCUCCCUCUCUCCCUUCUCUUCUUUUCCCCAACCUCUCUAUCUCCUCUGAACUGCAUGUCGCUCCUCUCUGCAGGUGCCGCCAUGGCCGCGUCUUGGAGCUCGUCGCCGUGAGCUGCGUGCCCCUACGAUGACGGCCUUCCUCGCCCACGUCCAGGACCUCUCAAUCCUAAUUUGAUACGCCACGAGUGGGAGCGGAAGCUGCGAUGUCAAGAUCUGCUUGCAUUGCCAUGAAUUUCCUCAUCACAUUAGGAUUCAUCGACGCCGCCAGCAAGUUCUGUAUCAAUUCCGGCACCCAACGUACUGUAUGCCCACACGUUUAAAUCAUGUCGGUCUUACUCCUGCAAUACUCCAAGAAUAGUACUUGAGAUUUAGGCAAUAGUGGGAAUGGUAAUUAAUUUUUAUUUAGUUGGUUCAGUUACUAUCAUUGGAAGUGCCAGGAAGAUCUCACCGUCAAGAGCAGCGCUGCAGGGUCAUUCACUUGGUUGGCCUCUGAUGUAACUGGUGUUGUUGUGUCCAUGUGGAAGGAGAGCCCGCUUCUCCGGGACGCCGGCACUGACAUGCUCACCGUAGGCGCCGUCAUGGCGGUGCUCGACUUCAGGGAGGAGGUCGGCAAUCACCACUUCUUGGACCAAAGUUUGCAGAAGCUAUGGAAGAAAUGGUAACUUGCUUACUUGGGAAAACUGCAUUGGAUAACGAUGCUGAUGAUAGCGAUCCUUCAUGAAAAUAACUGUUGAUGCGACUUUUUCUAUACAAGCGGUGAUGCUAAGGCUCAGUUUGAACUACAAAAUUUCGUGGAUAACUAUCGUAAAAAUGUCAUAAAUACAAUCACAAACCCAUCAGUUCUAUGAUAUGGAUGCCGUGGUGAUUGCUGGAAGGGAGGGUUCCUGGGAUGAUGAGAAGGUAUGCAGAUUCAUACUGUUCCAGGUUUAGAGUGAAAUCUAAACUAAUGAAUGAAGAGUUGUAGACACAGUAUUUUUGUUGAUGCAGGUCAUUAAGUAAUUCACGAAGUUGGGAUGGGGGGAGACCAUUAUGGGGAGUAUUAGAUUAGCAGAAAAUGCAGAGUUCGUGAUUUAGUUUUUAGAUUGGAAUGUGCUCUGCAUUACUAAAAGAGAGUUUUUUUUUCUGAAGAUGAAUCUAAAUGGUGUGACGGUCUGAGUACUCAUGGGCGUGACGAGGUGACUGCGGAGCCACCAGAACAUGCGAGUGGCAAUGCUUCAGGACAAGUAGGGUGGGGUGGGGCGACACGUGUGACGGUGUGCGGGGUGGAGGAUAGAUUAGCCUUGGAGGGGGUCACAAGAGUCGGAGGAGGGGAUGAACUGGGGAGCACAAGAUGCUGCAUGUAGUAUUCAACCAGUGCAAACAAUGUGUAAACGACCGAUGUUUGGUCGCUACCAUAUCAUUAGUUUUUUUAUAAAGUGGGUAUAUAUUCGAAGGAUUUUCGACAUAUUCUUUAAUGAGUAGGGCAUUUUGGAUCUUGGCAAACAAAUUUAUAAAGUGGAUAUAUAUAUUCAAAGGACCA